rnacentral:rRNA from 1 species
GACGAACGCUGGCGGCGUGCUUAACACAUGCAAGUCGAACGGAAAGGCCCUGCUUUUGUGGGGUGCUCGAGUGGCGAACGGGUGAGUAACACGUGAGUAACCUGCCCUUGACUUUGGGAUAACUUCAGGAAACUGGGGCUAAUACCGGAUAGGAGCUCCUGCUGCAUGGUGGGGGUUGGAAAGUUUCGGCGAUUGGGGAUGGACUCGCGGCUUAUCAGCUUGUUGGUGGGGUAGUGGCGUACCAAGGCUUUGACGGGUAGCCGGCCUGGGAGGGUGACCGGCCACAUUGGGACUGAGAUACGGCCCAGACUCCUACGGGAGGCAGCAGUGGGGAAUAUUGCACAAUGGGCGGAAGCCUGAUGCGGCGACGCCGCGUGCGGGAUGACGGCCUUCGGGUUGUAAACCGCUUUCGCCUGUGACGAAGCGUGAGUGACGGUAAUGGGUAAAGAAGCACCGGCUAACUACGUG